AGAAAACAACAAGGCAGCUGGUUAUACACAUUUUCCAAAUGUGGCUCAAUUUUGUAUGCUUUGGUUCCACCAGAAUUACAUGUCUGUUGUCUAUGAGGCCUUGGAGGAGGAUAAGAAAGUGCCUGUUACCCAGAGUGGAGAGAGGCGUUGAGCGCAAAGCCACAAAAAUCAAGACAUAAGUGGCAACAAUGAAACACAAGCAGAAAGCCAUGGAAACGGCUUCCCAACGGCAGUGACUGCUGAACUUGAGAGGACAGGGUAGAUUCCCUUAAGGACGUGGGACCGGGGAACCGCGUGCCAAUACACAGUCCUGGACCGCAGGUAAAUCAGCACACACUUCUAGGAGUCAGUGGGAGGUAACGAGUUUGGGUUUUUGUAGGAAAAGUGGUUCAGUGAAGGUGAUGAAGGUGCGCAGCGUUCAUUGGGGGUGAGGGAAACAGGACAGGAAGAGCUGGAAGCAUCUAAGGCAGGAGACGGUCAAGACCUGAAUGAGGCAGUGUAGUGCCAAGGAGACAGAUGGAAAAGAUAAUCUUCUUAAACUGAAGUUAAUCUUAAAAUAUUCAAAAUAAUUUUACACCAACUACAUGUGGAAAUGGUAAUAUUUUGGACAAGUUAAUAAAACCUUAUCAAAAUUGUUGUUUUUCAUUUUAAUUGUGGCUGCUACAAAGCAUAGGAUUAAUGUGCAGCUUGCAUUAUUGGACAGUGCUGCUCUAGAGGGAAAGACCUGUGGGGAGGAAGCCCAGAAAAAGAUAGUUUGUCAUGAACGCUCUCAGCUCUUCUGUUGACCCACUUACUCACUUCUGUUUCAAGAAGUUAAAGCAGACGAUCAGAAUGGUCAGAAUUUGAUAUCUAUUGAGCUGCGUGUGUGGUUAAUGGAGACAGAUGUGCAAAACAUUGUCUCCAUCUACCACCUGUAUAAUUAAGAAGAACCAGGGCAUCUUCUCUCACUUCCUUCUGCCUGGUGAAACCACCCGAAGUGCCUGCUGCUACCAGCUUCACACCGGCUACGGCGAGGAAGGCACGUUCCAUAUCGGCUGGGUGCAGCUACCGUUUUGAGCUGGCGAGUCCCAUGUGGAUACGGACACACGUGACGUCUUGGCCGGUCCGUGCCAGGCCCUGGCAGCUGACACUGGAGCAGCGGUGUGCAGUCAUAUCCCAUCUGACGGGGGGGAAAGACACUAGCCCCUCUCGUGGGAACAUGGCCACGGAGUUUAAAGUGUGCAUCCUGGUGAGUCUGAAACCAAAGUAGUUUUCUCGAAAAGAGAAAUUUAUACAAGUAAAUUGUCUUCUCCACCUUUUCCCAGGUGCCGCUAGGACUCUACCAUUGUCUGCUAUGGGAACACCAAUGUGGGUCUAGCCUCAGACAGCUCAGGCUGAGACUGGGCAGAAUAAAAACACCAUGGAGGGAAGGAUUUGAGGCCCUAAUUUCCUUAGAAUUUAAUUGUUCUAUGGAAAUUAAUGGAAGUUCAUAUUGCUCAUCUGGGGGAUACUGCCAUUCAUGUAUUGAUUUUUUUGGUUUAAAUGUAGUGGUCACCGUAAAACCUCCUCUGAUGUGUGCAUCUGGCCAUAAUCUGAAGUAGGAAAUAGAAGAGGGAAUGAAUUCAACCUUGGAAGGAACUCAUCUUUAAGGUAAAGGAAUUAAUAUCCUGCUCUCGCAUUUGAGUCUCUACAAAGCUAGAUCAUCCAGGACUUGGUGGAAAGUCUCAGGGAACUGCAUUUAGAGAAGUGGUGGAUGUGGCGUCUUGAUGCACUGGUAGUCUCAUGGGUACACCACACACGUCAGAGGAGAAAGUACAGUGGGAGGGACGCAGCUCUGGGGUGUAGGGGUGGGGAGGGGAGAGGACUGUAAAACGGCCACUACUGGUCUGCACCCCAGGUUCCUGUGUGCCCUCUCUGUGGAAGGACUGGUCAACCCAACUGGUCCAAAUGGGAUAUUCUCUGGGCCAUGUUACCGGUGCUUACAGAAUUAUUGUACUUCAAGAUGCAUUUUCAUCUCUCACAUUGCCUGUUUCACAGGGCACAGAUAAAUGACGGCAGUGAUCAGGAGUAUGCUGAAGGAGGGGAGAGCGCCAUGGGUAUAACUCAGGAGAACGCAACUCGUCCUAAGAAGCAGGUGAAUGAAGGGAAGCCAAAUGAAAAAGAGGCCUGCCUGUAGCUGAAAGUUCUGCACCUCGGCAGGAAGUAGUACAGUAAUAGACCACCGUCAUCUGUACAUUCCAAGCAACUCUACUGUUGAGCUUGAAAAGGAAGACAGGGAUGCUAUGUGUCUACCUUCAUACCAGAAAUUAAAGCCUUAAGCCAUCUGCCAAAACAUGAGUGAGGACUCAGGGAACAAAUGCUCUGCUGCAUUCUGCAUCUGAAUUCAUAAGAGAAUCCAGUUGAGCAGAGGAAGACAACCAUCACAGCAAUGGCGCUCACACGAUGGUCUGCAAAUAAGAAACAGACUGGCAUCAGAAUGCUGUCACUCCAGAAAUAAACUGUGCAAACAGAUGAUCUAAUAAGUAAAGGCAAAGCUUAUAACUUUAAACCAGAAGGAACCGACCAGUUUUAUUUCUUCCCUUAAGCAGGCAACAGAUUUGUUUUUAACGUAAGGUUUUUUUGAAUCCAGUUGUUUUAGCAAAUAAACUUCCUUAGAGCUCACUAACUGUACCUGUUCUUCUUCAGCAAGUCCUCCUGACAUGUGAGACACUCCAGACACAGAGCAAUGUUUCCAGAGCUCCAAAACAGUGAGACUGGGGGGUACAGUGGUCCUGGCUGGCCUGUACCCAGGAGCUCCUGGGGGGCUCUGUGUAGGAUGCUCCGAAAAGGGAUGCUGAGUCUACUGAAGAGGCAAAUCCUCUGAAUAACAAAGAGGGCUGACUCACACAGAUCUAAGAGUUGCUUCUGUGAUUAUCAGCAGGAGAUGAAGAAUGGAUGGCUACUUUAAUCCCUCUGGACAACAAAGGAAUUUCUGUAAAAAGUCCAAACUAAUAACGAUCUUUUAAUUUCCUGCAUUACCCAGAUUAUGAAUUUGGCCCCCAGAUGUAUCUCUACUAUUGUUGUUGCUGAAGGGUUGCUUUAGGUGGAGUUUCAAGUGUCACUGUGAACAAGAAUUAACCAGAAAAAAAAAAAAAAAAAGAAUUAACCAGAAAGUCUCCCACCUGUUGCCAUCUUCUUUGAUUCUGUGUUAUGUUCAAUAUAGCUAUGAAAAAUGGCAUCUAGCUAUGAUGGAAAAGAUUAUGAAAAAGAGAACAGAUACAAAAAUAAAUGUGGGCCUGAGGUUCUGCCUUUUUUUUC